rnacentral:rRNA from 1 species
UACGGAGGAUCCAAGCGUUAUCCGGAAUCACUGGGCGUAAAGGGUGCGUAGGCGGGUCUUUAAGUCAGGGGUGAAAUCCUGGAGCUCAACUCCAGAACUGCCUUUGAUACUGAAGAUCUUGAGUUCGGGAGAGGUGAGUGGAACUGCGAGUGUAGAGGUGAAAUUCGUAGAUAUUCGCAAGAACACCAGUGGCGAAGGCGGCUCGCUGGCCCGAUACUGACGCUGAGGCACGAAAGCGUGGGGAGCAAACAGG